UAGAAUAUUAGAUGAAUCCCUAGUGAUAGAAAUUUGUCAUGUGGCCCUGGAAUCUCAUCCGACAAUUUAUUAUUAGUCAAGAAUAUUACCUACCGUACUGGCAGCUAUUGGUGGUGAAAGUUAGAGCUCGGCUCGAUUCCAAAGAUUUUGACGACCGGUCUAGCCUAGCGGGUGGUGACCCUGCCUGGGAAGCCGACGGCCUCGGGUUCGAAUCCCGGUAAGAGCAUUUAUUUGUGUGAUGAGCACAGAUAUUUGUUCCUGAGUCAUGGAUGUUUUCUAUGUAUUUAAUCGUAAUAAAUGAAAUCCACUGUAUAUCGUGGUCUAAGUACCCACAACACAAGCUUUAUUGAGCUUACCGUGGGACUUAGUCAAUUUGUGUAAUAAUGUCCUAUAAUAUUUAUUUAUAUCUUUUGAUAGUCCCCAGCAAGCUCGGCCGAAUUUCACCUUCCCAUACAAACGGAGUUUCGUUCUCAUUUUAAAACUACGUGUUGGAUUGUAAUGAAACUUUGAACAUACAAUGACACGAGGUGUAUCUAGUCCUUUAAUUAGUUUAUA